GCCAGACUCCUACGGGAGGCAGCAGUGGGGGAUAUUGCACAAUGGGGGAAACCCUGAUGCAGCGACGCCGCGUGAGUGAAGAAGUAUUUCGGUAUGUAAAGCUCUAUCAGCAGGGAAGAAGAUGACAGUACCUGAGUAAGAAGCCCCGGCUAACUACGUGCCAGCAGCCGCGGUAAUACGUAGGGGGCAAGCGUUAUCCGGAUUUACUGGGUGUAAAGGGAGCGUAGACGGUUAUGUAAGUCUGGAGUGAAAGCCCGGGGCCCAACCCCGGGACUGCUUUGGAAACUGUGUAACUAGAGUACAGGAGGGGCAGGCGGAAUUCCUGGUGUAGCGGUGAAAUGCGUAGAUAUUAGGAGGAACACCAGUGGCGAAGGCGACUUUCUGGACUGUACCUGACGCUGAGGCGCGAAAGCGUGGGUAGCGAACGGGAUUAGAUACCCGAGUAG
rnacentral:rRNA from 1 species